UCCCUCACUACGCUUCUACACACCCUACCCCGAAGAGCUCGAGGAGGAGGAGCAGCUGAGCUAAUAGGCGAUGGAUUCCCAGGCGCCGGCCGGCGACAACCGCCGGAGCACCGACCUCAACAAGGCUGUGGACGAGCAAUCUCGACAAUCGGCGGCCAGCAAGCAGGCAGGUGCUCCGUGCGUCUACCUCAAGAAAGGCACGUGCGCGGAGGGAAGCAUGCGGCAUGACGCCCAUGGCCACGCGCCCCACCUUGCCGCAAGCCAUGCUCACUGAGCGUACCGUAUAGCAGCAGCCAGCAGCAGAGACAAUACUAUGUAUUGCCGCAAUACCAGUACUACGUACUUUCUACGUAUUUCUGCUCCGUCAUGUCUUCUUCUCUUCCGCUGCUUGCUGCUAGUAUCUAUCUAAGGCCGCCCCAUAUGGCCGUAUAUACAGUAAAAAGAUUGUAAUAAAUAAUGACCCACUCUGUGUGUGGUCCUUGUGAUUGCGGUCACGGUCGGUCUUGCGGGCUCCUCGAGCUCGUCGCUCGUGCUGCGUAGAUUCCUGCCGGCUCCUUCUUGGAGCGGCGAGGUUAGGGGUUUCUUGUCGUGUGUGUAUACGUUGGCGAGAUUAUUUGGUGUCUGGUUCAAGGGCUUCGAUGGCGACGACUGCAUCUCAUAUGCACGAAGACUUCCUGCCAGUCAUCAACAAGAUCGGGCCAACUGUGCUCCGGUAUGAACAGUGGUCGUUCGGUGGUCCAUGGACCUUGAUGUAAUAUUUUAUUAUGUUUGGGGUGCUUUGUACUUCUGGCGAGCCUUUAUAAUAAAGAUAAUUUAGUUACUAAGUGA